UUGUGGUAUUUGAACAAUUAGGUGUGGUCUCUGGUGAGGAGAUUUGAUCAGCCGCAGAGGUAUAAGCCUUUCAUAAGUAGGUGCAUUGUACAGGGAGACCUUCAGAUUGGUAGUGUUAGGGAGGUGAAUGUUAAGUCGGGGCUUCCAGCUACCACUAGCACUGAACGAUUGGAGCUAUUAGAUGAUGAGGAGCAUAUAUUUAGGAUGACAAUUGUUGGAGGAGAUCAUAGGCUUAAGGUAUGAACAUUUUGAUCAUUUUUUGUGUGUAUUUGUGGCGUGAGUUUGAUUUGCAUUCUUGAAUGUUGUCGAAUCUCUCAGUGUUUGAGGUGUUCAACAAAGCAUUGGUAGGAACUCAAAAUUCGUCAUGAAAUUGAUAGGAUUGAGAAUUCGAUAUGAUGCAAAUAUCAGUCUAUAACCUUGGCUAUGAGAACUUGUGGUGUUGCAUUACUUCGUGGAUGGAAAGGCAUUUUUUCUUUCUCUAAGAUACAGUAAUAAUUUGGAAAAUUUGUGCCACAAGUUGCUAAGUUAAGUUUUUGUUGAGUAAUAAAGUGAUCUAGUUGCAGCUUGCAGGGACAAUGAGAUAAGAAUAAUCAUGUGAAACUUUCCAGUUUGAUCCACUUGGGAAAGUCAAAAUGUUAAAUCAUCAUGGGUUUCUAUGAUUUAAAAACUUCCAAAAGAAAUUUGAUUUUGACAGAACUAUAUUUUUGUUUCAUGUUAUGACAUUCACUAGAUAAUAUGAAAUUUCCUAUGAUAAUCAGCUAGAAUUAUUCAGUGUUUUUCCUUCUUGAAAUUUGCAUCUAAGGAUGCUUAUUGAAUCUUUACAGCAUACACAACUUUUGCAGCAGAUUCGUUAUUUUCUGUUUGCUGGCCAUGUUUAUAGGCUGAUAAGUUUGUCAAAUUUUUAAAUCAUUUUUUAAAUGAAGAAAAUGAUGAGAUGGGAAGCUCUGGACCUUUCGCUAUUGGAGGAGCUGCCAGUGGUGGCGGUGCAUUUUGGACGCUUCUGUUGAGACCUCCUCCUCUUACUCCAAUUUUCUCUCCCGAUUCAGUCAAUUAACUGAAUCUCAGGUAUUUUCGGCGAUCGUUUGACCUUUUUCCGGUCAGGAAUUUACCCUGUUUUUGCUGAAGUUACCUGGAUGGUGACUAGUGAUUAUAUGACCGUGAACAGCAAUGCGUUUAGCAAGAUGGAAGACGACUACAUCAGGAGGCACCACAAGCAUGAGGUUAAAGACCACCAGUGUAGCUCUUCUCUAGUUAAACACAUCAAAGCGCCAGUUCAUCUCGUAAGCCUUUGGUUUUCCGAUUUUUUAAGCAAAAUUUCUGUUUAGGUUAAUCGAUUUAUUGUUUGUAGAUCCGAUGCUAUUUUAUAUUAUAAUUGAUUGUCUAAUUUAUCUGGAUUUUAACUUUAGGCUUGUUUGUAAUAUAGUGCUUGUGGUAUUUGAACAAUUAGGUGUGGUCUCUGGUGAGGAGAUUUGAUCAGCCGCAGAGGUAUAAGCCUUUCAUAAGUAGGUGCAUUGUACAGGGAGACCUUCAGAUUGGUAGUGUUAGGGAGGUGAAUGUUAAGUCGGGGCUUCCAGCUACCACUAGCACUGAACGAUUGGAGCUAUUAGAUGAUGAGGAGCAUAUAU
rnacentral:lncRNA from 1 species